rnacentral:tRNA from 1 species
GCGGGCGUAGCUCAGUUGGUUAGAGCGCCAGAUGGUGGCCCUGGAGGUCGUGAGUUCGAUUCUCGUCGCCCGCCCCA